CCUCUCACAAAUGAUGAUAUCAUCACUUAUAUUCUUGCUGGACUUGGCCAGGAGUAUGAUUCCCUGGCCUCCAUAAUUUCCUCACGGCUUGAUCCUGUCAGCUUGGAGGAACUCUUUUCUCUGCUUCUCAUCUAUGAAU
rfam:Populus trichocarpa scaffold_11_contig_216, whole genome shotgun sequence.